GAUGAACGCUGGCGGCGUGCCUAAUACAUGCAAGUCGAGCGAACAGAUGAGGAGCUUGCUCCUCUGACGUUAGCGGCGGACGGGUGAGUAACACGUGGAUAACCUACCUAUAAGACUGGGAUAACUUCGGGAAACCGGAGCUAAUACCGGAUAAUAUAUUGAACCGCAUGGUUCAAUAGUGAAAGACGGUUUUGCUGUCACUUAUAGAUGGAUCCGCGCCGCAUUAGCUAGUUGGUAAGGUAACGGCUUACCAAGGCAACGAUGCGUAGCCGACCGGAGAGGGUGAUCGGCCACACUGGAACUGAGACACGGUCCAGACUCCUACGGGAGGCAGCAGUAGGGAAUCUGCCGCAAUGGGCGAAAGCCUGACGGAGCAACGCCGCGUGAGUGAUGAAGGUCUUCGGAUCGUAAAACUCUGUUAUUAGUGAAGAACAAAUGUGUAAGUAACUAUGCACGUCUUGACGGUACCUAAUCAGAAAGCCACGGCUAACUACGUG
rnacentral:rRNA from 1 species